rnacentral:lncRNA from 1 species
CCGCACUUUCCUCUCCGGGCGGGGCGGAAGCGCCUCUUCUGCCUGCAGGCCGAGGCCUCCUGGGUUCCGGUCCCUACCCCGCUGCAGCUCCUCGUGGCAGUUCUGGGUUCGAACCCGUACAGUGGGGACGACUGUGAAUGGGGCGGGUCUGGGCCUGGCCGCCCCUCCAAGGCUGCUGCUCGCCCUUGCUCGGCCCCGCCUGGGCCCCGGAGUGGGGAAGGGGCCGAGCUCGUGGGUUCUGCAUCGCUUCUUCCACGCGGUGUACUGGGAGCUGCUGCAGGAGAGGCAGAAUUUUGUCUCCUCUCAGCAUCUUGAAGACCUAGCACAAUACCUCCUAGCCUUUGCAAGAAAUCGUUAGUCAGAUUCACUGUAUGGCAGAGAACACAGUCACAUCAGGGAGAGAAAAU